GAUAUGUGGUACUUCAAACACAGGCAGCUAACCAGCUGAUCUGGGACUUAAUCCUUCUGACCCUUCCAAUCAGAAAGAAGAACCAGAUGGAGCCUAUUUAAGAAGGUCUGUGAAGAGGAAAGUAACUUCCCCAUUUUGUGGUACAGACAUGGGCCCAUUUCUAGAUUCGCCAAGAAACUCCAGUAAAGCAGAGCAUAAAGGUCCCAGGAAAUGCACAUCAAAGCACUGCCCAGCUUGUUUGCACAUCUGUGUGUUCAGAACUGCCAGAAUAACCAGUUAAAGCUUCUUGUAGCUAUGAUGAUGCAAACACAGAUUCUUAGUGAAACCUGAGAGGACUCUGCUAUGACCAGAUAGCAUUUGCUGAGGCUGCAGUUCACUUGUAGGCUGAAAAGAGCCUGGCCACACCAGGGAAAUAAAGCUCCAUUGAUAUUUUCCUGCUGGGACCAUUUGCUACCCCUUAGAGCUGCUGAACUCCAGAGUUAUUUCUCUCUGAUCCUGUAAUAGCCAUCUGUUAAUAGCGUGUUUAGCACAUUGCACUGCAAACAAGAGGGUGAUGGGGUGGUAGCUGAAAUAUAUAUAUGAGGAACACAGCAGAAUCAUGUGCUUCCUGCUCUCCAGAGCCUGAUAACAAAACAAAACAAAAAUGCCAUUGAGAGCUGUUGUUGCAGUGGAACAAAGCCUAAUAAAAGCUCUUCAAAGAGCCAUCUGGACUGUGCUAAGGAUGCUGCUCCAUGCUAAAUACUCAUCCUUUGGCAAGUCUGUGUUAUAAUCAACAUCUAGGGUUCCUCUAUCUAUUCCAGCAGUCUCAGGCUAGAGAGCUGCAUGAGUUGACAAAACUCUGACAUCCUUGGAGACUGGUUUUCAAACUCUGCUGAACAGCUCAUGCCUGGUCUGAGAUGAAAAAGAAUGUCCUUGACAUCUUUUAACAUAUGUACUUUUGCUUUUUGUUUUUUGAAGAAAAGCUGUAACCUCUUCUUUUUUCUAUCCACACAACUGGGUUUGGAACUGAGGUAUGGUCUUGGGAAGGGUUCAGCAGUUUGUAUCACCAUUGGAUGACUGAGAAACUUUAUUCAGUGCAGCACUGAAGAUCUCAUUGCAAUGAAGUAAAGGUUUUACCUCUAUUUGUAAAGGUUAGCAGAAAGACCAAUAGCAAUAAAGAAUAAAUCAUCUUAUGGUUUUGUUUUUCUUUCAGUGAUGAAAUACAGUUAUUCUGUAGUCCAUGUAUGCUGAAAAGUGACUGAAAAGAAACAUCACUGCUCUUUCUCUGUCUUGAAAUCAAUUGUGUUAAGCAUUUGUUGACAGUUCUAUUCCCAACAGCAAAAGUAAAAUAUUAAAUUAUAUUCAAAGUCAUUACCCUUUUACCUCCAGCUAACCCAUCUUCCCCCUGUACUUGCUGGCAAGCAUUCAGUGUUGUGGA